AAAUUCUCGAAACUAAUCGUUCUUCAAUCUCUUUGGGAUUUUCUUUCAAGAGGCUCCCACAAGCCUUGACCUUGUGUUCAAGUCAUAGCAAGGAAGAUCU